GACGAACGCUGCGGCGUGCUUAACACAUGCAAGUCGAGCGGAAAGGCCCUUCGGGGUACUCGAGCGGCGAACGGGUGAGUAACACGUGAGUAACCUGCCCUAGGCUUUGGGAUAACCCCGGGAAACCGGGGCUAAUACCGGAUAUGACCUGGUGCCGCAUGGUGUUGGGUGGAAAGUUUUUUCGGCCUGGGAUGGGCUCGCGGCCUAUCAGCUUGUUGGUGGGGUGAUGGCCUACCAAGGCGAUGACGGGUAGCCGGCCUGAGAGGGCGACCGGCCACACUGGGACUGAGACACGGCCCAGACUCCUACGGGAGGCAGCAGUGGGGAAUAUUGCACAAUGGGCGGAAGCCUGAUGCAGCGACGCCGUGUGAGGGAUGAAGGCCUUCGGGUUGUAAACCUCUUUCAGCAGGGACGAAGCGUGAGUGACGGUACCUGCAGAAGAAGCGCCGGCCAACUACGUG
rnacentral:rRNA from 1 species